rnacentral:rRNA from 1 species
GAAUAUUGGACAAUGGACGAAAGUCUGAUCCAGCCAUGCCGCGUGUAGGAAGAAUGCCCUCUGGGUUGUAAACUACUUUUAUAUGGGAAUAAACCCCCCGACGUGUCGGGGGCUGAAUGUACCAUACGAAUAAGGACCGGCUAACUCCGUUCCAGCCGCCGCGGUAAUACGGAGGGUCCAAGCGUUAUCCGGAUUUAUUGGGUUUAAAGGGUCCGUAGGUGGAAUUGUAAGUCAGUGGUGAAAUCUUUCGGCUUAACCGGAAAACUGCCAUUGAUACUGCAGUUCUUGAGUAUGCUCGAUGUAGGCGGAAUAUGUCAUGUAGCGGUGAAAUGCAUAGAUAUGACAUAGAACACCGAUAGCGAAGGCAGCUUACAAGCGCAUAACUGACACUGAGGGACGAAAGCGUGGGGAGCGAACAGG